UCCCAACAGGAUAGUUACCCUGUUUGUAUAGCUCCCAGUGGGAUAUACUUGGAAUAUACUGAUUGUUGUACAGUAUGAACUUUUUCAUCACUGCUUUUCUGCAUUCUAACAGGCUUACACUUUCCCAAACAUACUCCUGGGAUUCUUCUAUGUUGGUUCUGUACAAGCUACGGGAGGAUCCUGGGACAGUCCCUGUACUCAGCACAUCUGGAUAUCAGGUUUGGAGAUAGGGUUUCUCUGUAUAUCCCUGGCUGCCCUACAACUGAAGACCAGGCUGAUGCCAAACUCAGAGAUCCGCCUGCCUCUCUCUGCAUCCCAACUGCAGUGAUUAAAGGUUACAAUUGAGAGACUGCCUUGAGUCUCAGAAGAGACUUUCAAACAAUGUUGAGAUCGAAAGACCAUGAGGACUUUACGUUAGACUUGAUGCAUUCUGCAUUAUGAUAUGUCUACAAGCCUGUACAGGCCAGGGAGUGGGACAUGGUUUGAAUGAGAAUGGUCCUUACAAGUUAUUUAAACGCUUGGUCACCAUUUGGUGGUACUAUUUGGGAAGCAUUAGAAGGUGCAGCCUGUUGGACAAGGUAUGUAACUGAGAACAGGCUUUCUAAUACUCAUGCCUGCCUGCCACUGUCUGCUGAGAUGAUCAUGGUCUAUAACCCUCUAAAAUGGUAAGCCCAAAGUUUAACUCUCUUUUAUUAAAAACAAACAAACAAACCUCACUUCAUCCAUACUGACUCUAUUGGUAUACAGCACAAAGUAUUAAAAAUAAAAUAUAAAAACAGUCUAGAUCAGUAAAUCAAAUCAACAAAAAGUAAAAACCCAUGGAAGUCUAAAAAAAAAAGUGUUCUCGUACAUGAGUGCUGUAUUUGGAAUAUCUGACUCUAAAUGGCUGGACCCUGAGGUGAAACAAACAUUAAAAGGCAUUAUGGAUUUUGAGACUAGAGAGAUGACUCAGCAGACAAGAGCACUGGUUGCCAUUGCAGAGGGCCUGGAUUUGGUUUUCCUGCACCUACUUGGUAACUCAUAGCAUCUGUAACCCUCGUCCCAGGGGAUCUGACCUUCUCUUCUGACCUCCUCAGCCACAUGGCACAUAGGUGGUAAGUAUAUGUAA